rnacentral:rRNA from 1 species
GUGGGGAAUAUUGGACAAUGGGCGAAAGCCUGAUCCAGCCAUGCCGCGUGUGUGAAGAAGGCCUUUUGGUUGUAAAGCACUUUAAGCGAGGAGGAGGCUACCGAGAUUAAUACUCUUGGAUAGUGGACGUUACUCGCAGAAUAAGCACCGGCUAACUCUGUGCCAGCAGCCGCGGUAAUACAGAGGGUGCAAGCGUUAAUCGGAUUUACUGGGCGUAAAGCGCGCGUAGGUGGCCAAUUAAGUCAAAUGUGAAAUCCCCGAGCUUAACUUGGGAACUGCAUUCGAUACUGGUUGGCUAGAGUAUGGGAGAGGAUGGUAGAAUUCCAGGUGUAGCGGUGAAAUGCGUAGAGAUCUGGAGGAAUACCGAUGGCGAAGGCAGCCAUCUGGCCUAAUACUGACACUGAGGUGCGAAAGCAUGGGGAGCAAACAGGAUUAGAAACCCGUGUAGUCC